rnacentral:rRNA from 1 species
GAUGAACGCUAGCGGCAGGCCUAACACAUGCAAGUCGAGGGGUAGAACAUUUCGGUGUUUGAGACCGGCGCACGGGUGCGUAACGCGUAUGCAAUCUGCCUUGUACAGAGGGAUAGCCCAGAGAAAUUUGGAUUAAUACCUCAUAGUAUAAUUGAAUGGCAUCAUUUGAUUAUUAAAGUUCCAACGGUACAAGAUGAGCAUGCGUCCCAUUAGUUAGUUGGUGUGGUAACGGCACACCAAGACGAUGAUGGGUAGGGGUCCUGAGAGGGAGAUCCCCCACACUGGUACUGAGACACGGACCAGACUCCUACGGGAGGCAGCAGUGAGGAAUAUUGGUCAAUGGAGGCAACUCUGAACCAGCCAUGCCGCGUGCAGGAAGAAGGUUCUAUGGAUCGUAAACUGCUUUUGUACAGGAAGAAAUUAUCCCUCGUGAGGGAGCUUGACAGUACUGUAAGAAUAAGGAUCGGCUAACUCCGUG